AUCUGAUUAAAAGGCAUUUUACUAUACAUGCAUAUUAUGAGGAAACAUUAUGCUAAACAAACCUACCAUAUGCUGUAUGUUAAUGAAGGACCCUGGUGGAUGUCAAUAUAUUCCCUGCUCACAGCAAUCACUUUGGAGAACAACAAGAAGUGGAAGCCAAAACUACAAAACAAAUCCAAGUGUGACCUCCACUUAAGGCUGGAUCAAAAGGUGCUCUGUUGGAUCAAGAUCUUGUGACUGUGGAGGCGUUGGAGUACAGUGAACUCAUUGUCAUGUUCAAGAAACCAGUUUGAGAUGAUGAGCUUUGUGGC